rnacentral:rRNA from 1 species
UACGUAGGAGGCGAGCGUUGUCCGGAGUUACUGGGCGUAAAGGGUGCGUAGGCGGCCGCGCGCGUGGCGGGGGAAAUCUCUCGGCUUACCCGGGAGGGUGCUUGCCGGACGGCGUGGCUUGAGGGACGGAGAGGGACGUGGAAUUCCGGGUGUAGUGGUGAAAUGCGUAGAGAUCCGGAGGAACCCCUGAGGCGAAGGCGGCGUCCUGGCCCGAUUCUGACAUUCAGACACGACAGCAUGGGGAGCGAACGGG